CUUCAAGAUAAGGAGGUGGUUUCAGAAUCUUGACAACAAUCCAACCAAGAAUUCCUCCGAUUAAGAAUAAAAGGGUUUUUUUUUACCAUGAGAUCAUGUCCUCAAGUGUGACUGUCUGAGCCAGAUUUGCAAACAUGAGAGCCGGUGCAAAUAAGAUCGAAAUAUCGGGUCAAGAUAUUGGUUUUACCUUGUUCAUGGAAUUGCGAGCUUCGACAGGGAAGAGCUUGCAUCUAUCAGUGGCCAAGAAAGCUCCAACAACACUUAUGAAGAGAACUUGAAUCACUGGCAUAGAAGCCACCUCCAACAAUGACCAAAAACCCAUCUUUUAUGAAACUUUUUUUUUUAUUGAACUUUUAUGGAUAACUAUGAGUCAAGUGGUCGGAUCUUGUUUCUCUUCUUCUUUUUUUGCAGUUAAUCUGCAGAGAAAACUAUAAGCUUGAGAAGAGAAAAGGUUCGAGAUAAGCAAAAUAUAUAUACGUACAAUAUUUACUUCCUCGCCUAAAGUUCUGACUCUGACAGAAGCGGUGAUAAUUAUAUUUAAAACUCAUAAAACAUGCCAGAGUUUCGAGUCUUUUGAGGCCUGUGUCAUUGGAGAAGGAAUAGCUUCUUCUACUUCUCAUGUUGAAACUGAAUUACUUUUGUUUCCAUUCAAAUAUGAUUUUUGUUUUGACCACGGUCAUAGAUACCAAAUAUAUAUUGUAUUACUCUUCUAUGUUAUAUUUUAUUCCAUUUA